rnacentral:rRNA from 1 species
CAUGUAGGCGGUUGUUUAAGUCUGAUGUGAAAGCCCUGGGCUCAACCCAGGAAGUGCAUUGGAUACUGGCCAACUUGAGUACGGGAGAGGAAAGUGGAAUUUCGAGUGUAGGGGUGAAAUCCGUAGAUAUUCGAAGGAACACCAGUGGCGAAGGCGGCUUUCUGGACCGAUACUGACGCUGAGAUGCGAAAGCGUGGGGAGCAAACA